rnacentral:rRNA from 1 species
GGCUCUGAUGCUAUUGCACCACAUGUGUUUUUCUUUGAAACAAACUUGCUUUGGCGGUGGGCCCAGCCUGCCGCCAGAGGUCUAAACUUACAACCAAUUUUUUAUCAACUUGUCACACCAGAUUAUUACUAAUAGUCAAAACUUUCAACAACGGAUCUCUUGGUUCUCGCAUCGAUGAAGAACGCAGCGAAAUGCGAUACGUAAUAUGAAUUGCAGAUAUUCGUGAAUCAUCGAAUCUUUGAACGCACAUUGCGCCCUCUGGUAUUCCGGAGGGCAUGCCUGUUUGAGCGUCGUUUCUCCCUCAAACCGCUGGGUUUGGUGUUGAGCAAUACGACUUGGGUUUGCUUGAAAGACGGUAGUGGUAAGGCGGGAUCGCUUUGACAAUGGCUUAGGUCUAACCAAAAACAUUGCUUGCGGCGGUAACGUCCACCACGUAUAUCUUCAAACUUUGACCUCAAAUCAGGUAGGACUACCCGCUGAACUUAAGCAUAUCAAUAAGGGGAGGAA